GUGGGGAAUUUUGCGCAAUGGGCGAAAGCCUGACGCAGCCAUGCCGCGUGAAUGAUGAAGGUCUUAGGAUUGUAAAAUUCUUUCACCGGGGACGAUAAUGACGGUACCCGGAGAAGAAGCCCUGGCUAACUUCGUGCCAGCAGCCGCGGUAAUACGAAGGGGGCUAGCGUUGCUCGGAAUUACUGGGCGUAAAGGGCGCGUAGGCGGACAGUUUAGUCAGAGGUGAAAGCCCAGGGCUCAACCUUGGAAUUGCCUUUGAUACUGGGUGUCUUGAGUAUGAGAGAGGUGUGUGGAACGCCGAGUGUAGAGGUGAAAUUCGUAGAUAUUCGGAAGAACACCAGUGGAGAAGGCGACACACUGGCUCAUUACUGACGCUGAGGCGCGAAAGCGUGGGGAGCAAACAGGAUUAGAUACCCUUGUAGUCC
rnacentral:rRNA from 1 species